UGAAAGACAUCUUUAGUAUUUCUUUUACACAAAUUGUACAUUGAUGUAAACACUCUAUAGAUUAAAAUACAUACUUCCAGUUAUUACACUAGAUCAAUAAUCAUAUCUUUCGUCCUGAGCUUUUAAAAGAAAUUUAACAAAAAACUAAAGAUGUGUUUCAAGGGACACAGUAUGUAGAUUUGAGCUGCAAAUUUCAUAUGCAUAAACCAUCAUCUAAAAACUUCUCUAUGCUAACUGCUAUGGCUAUUUCAAACCCUGUCCAUACAAAAGGACUUAAGAGAUUCACAUUUGUGAUCUGGUUUUUCUCCAUCUUAAAAAAAAGUAUCACCUUAAAAACAACAAAUAUAGACAACCAAAUUUUAAGAGGAAAAAAUAAACUUUGUUCCAGGCAAUUUACCCUUCUUUCUUAGUAAGUCAAACACAUUUUACAUUUAAAUACACAAAAAUCUUAUCAUACCAAUAGUCGUACGUACCCUCUCCCACAUUAGAGGGGAUAUACAAAUUCAAUUUACAAUCUAUUUUCGCUUCAAGUGCUAGCAAACACAGAGCAAAGCAAUGUGUCGCCCAUGCAAAAGGAAUUAUUUUAAACUGAAUAAGUGGCGAGUGUAUGAAAGUGAGCGUCUUUCGGAGAGUAUGGACUGUUGGAGAGGAGGGUAGAGACCGGCAUUGUAUAAAAUACCCAGAUGUAUUGAUUUUAGCAAGUUUGGACAAUAAGUAACUUGGAGUAGCUGAACUCCAGGUCUGCGGACUAAAAGAUCUGAUCUUGGAUCUGCUGAAUUCCGGAAGUGCAGGAGAUAUUUUAAUAGUGUUUGCAUCAUGUUUUUAAGAACAUUCACUACAAUAUGUUCUUUAGUCAGUUUGUUUAUAGCUGAAAAUUCUCUAUAUUAGAAUAUAACGUUACUAAUGAUGGAAACGCAUUGUUAGUUUUGACCGAUAACCUUUGCGACCAGCCUCACAAUUUUGCCACAGUAACAUUCUUUGAUACCAGAUGAAGAGCAUUUAUACAUA